AUGAACGCUGGCGGCGUGCCUAAUACAUGCAAGUCGAGCGAACGGACGAGAAGCUUGCUUCUCUGAUGUUAGCGGCGGACGGGUGAGUAACACGUGGAUAACCUACCUAUAAGACUGGGAUAACUUCGGGAAACCGGAGCUAAUACCGGAUGAUAUUUUGAACCGCAUGGUUCAAAAGUGAAAGACGGUCUUGCUGUCACUUAUAGAUGGAUCCGCGCUGCAUUAGCUAGUUGGUAAGGUAACGGCUUACCAAGGCAACGAUGCAUAGCCGACCUGAGAGGGUGAUCGGCCACACUGGAACUGAGACACGGUCCAGACUCCUACGGGAGGCAGCAGUAGGGAAUCUUCCGCAAUGGGCGAAAGCCUGACGGAGCAACGCCGCGUGAGUGAUGAAGGUCCUCGGAUCGUAAAACUCUGUUAUUAGGGAAGAACAUACGUGUAAGUAACUGUGCACAUCUUGACGGUACCUAAUCAGAAAGCCACGGCUAACUACGUG
rnacentral:rRNA from 1 species